AUGGGAUGGGGCUGGCCGGUCGUGGGAUCUGGAGGCCUCUGGGGUUAGAAUGUGACCCCAGUCUCCUUUUCCCUCAUCAUCUGCCAGCCCUUAUGGCCCAUGUGCCUCUUCCU
ensembl:miRNA